UAGGAACCCUCGGUCCCGAGGUUUCCAUUCUAGUGGGCCUUUAACUCUCGGACUCUCAGAGCUAACAGACACCUCUGAUACUCUCUAACUCUACCCCAGGAAACGCAAGCCCGAGAAGGAGAGUUUACAGCAGGCCGUGGACUAGGGAUUCACAUAAAAACAACAAUGAUAAAUCUCAUUUAAACUUCACCAAUGUAGGUAAAACCACACCACUCCUAUUUUACAGAUGUGAAAAGAGAGGCCCAAAGAGCUCAAGGAAUUUGCCCUCUAUCAUAUCCCCAGCAGAUGGAGAGGAUUCAAACCCAGAAUUCUUAAGCAGUGCCUGGGAGUUCUUCCACAAUCUUAACAGUUACCCUCCACCACCCCUUGGGCCCUCUGUCCCCAGGAGCCUGGCCAGCCAAGACUCACAUCCUCAGGAGUGUUCAGUAAACUUCACCGUCUCUGUAUCUGUGUCCCUGCAUCUGCUCUCUGCUCGGAAUGAGGCCUCAAACUUAUUGGUAAGAAUUCCUACUCACCCUUAAAGAAUCCGCUUAAAUAAUACCUUCUCUGUGAAACCUUUAUAUCCUCCCAUUCUUACAGUAGGAAUUGAGAAUUCCUCAACUCUUGAAACAUUUGUGUCUCUAUUAGUAUGUAUCAGGCACUGAAGUAACUGCCAGGAUAGAAAGAUGAAACUGUAGACCCUGCCCUGAUGGAGCUUAUGGCCUAGUGUGGAAAACAG
rnacentral:lncRNA from 10 species